GACCCAAACCCAGGCCCAUCUGACAUUCAGCGAAGCCCAAAACCAUUUCCAGAAGCCCAAGGUAUUUUGUUACAAAUACCCACCUUUCCACCUUGUUUUCUCAGAAAACUUCAUCAAAAAAAAAAAAGAAAGAGCUAGAGAGAGAGUGAGCUAAGAGGAAGUGUGAUUAUUUUGUAGUCAGAAAGUCGCCGGAGCUCGUCGCCGGAGCAACCGUGCGCCGUGAUCACGUUCAGCUCGCCACCCCCGAUCAACACCCUAGGUAACUGCCGGAAACCGCAUGCCUUAAGUUUCAGUUUCGUUUCCGUUUAGUAAAUCGCCCAUAACUUCCUAACCAUUGAUCAUCUCGUGCAUGCAAGACCACCAUCGUGUUCCUCUCGUCGAGACGAAGCCGUAGACACCAACCACACCGCAAUCGGAUCCCGGACGAAGCCGCUAGAGCCUCCCGAAGUUUCGCCUCUGCGCAGGCGUGAAACGCACGCGCCGUCGCCGUCCGCCGGAGCCACCGCGCAUUCCGGCCACUCGCCGCCGUCUCCGACCGCCGUUCGCCGGAGCCGCCGUGAUCGACCGCCGUCCGUCCGCCGCCGUGAAGCUGCCGCCGCGUCGCCGCCUCGCCGCCGUCGCCGCCGCUGAUUUUCCGAUUUAGAGUCUAUUUGAGCAGCUGGAGUUCAUAGAUACCACAUUUCCCUAUUGCUAAGGUGAGACCGACGAGCAGGAGUGAUUAUCGGACCUGUGCUAUUGGGCUUUUGGGCUUCUAUCGCUUUUAUCGCUUUUUAUCUUUAUCGGGCCUUUAGGCCUUUGGACUUUAUCGUUUGUGUUAUUUCCUAUUUCAGACUUUCGGUUUAUGUCGUAUUUUAUAUUUCGGAUGUUAUCGAUGUUGGGCUUUUAGGCCUUAUGGUAUCAUAUCGACUUUUAUAUUAUGAUAUGAAGAUUAUUAUUAUUCAGUAUUUAUUAUUUUGUUA